GCGGAAUAAGAAAAUCAAAUCAAUUUUUCUUACCUUAUAUAUGGAAAAGAACAUUUGAAAGUUAUUUGAAUAUUCCGAAAAGGAAUUCUCAAUAUUUCAAAAAGGUUGAGAGACACUGAUUUGCGACGAUAAGCCGAAGAAAAUGCAGAAAUGGGCUCGUGCGCAACUCACCUUGUAUACCGGCCAGUGUUCCCGGCUGGAACACGCGGGAAAGCCUGAAACAUUAGCGAAUACAGUAAAACAGUGAUAUGUCGCAUCGAAAGGGUUUCAUAAACGUCUUGUAUAACGCAUGUAUCGAUUGCCACAUAACGCAACUCCCACGCCAUUUUCGUCUUAGACGCAUUGUCCGCAUCGUUUUCUUACCACAAAUUGCGAAAAUAGUACCUACACCUCAAUAAUCUUGUAGUUUUAUGAGAAGCUCGAACGGGUGAAACGUUUUCUCCACGGCGCCGUACACUUUGAGGCCUUUUAUUUACAAGUUUACAAAGAAAAACAUCAGCCUGGAACAGAAAGAAAGGGAAUGCUUAUCGACCUUGUAGGCAAAUUCAAUCAUGGGCGUGAAUUUCGAUUCGUCGUGGUGAACGUAAAUAUCGAAAUCGAGGCUGCAGGUAGGAAACGUGAAAAUGCUCUCUGGAAGCGUCGUCUACUGAAGUCAAAUCUCCAGGGAUGUGUUUAUGGCAAGCUGAACACCGUUUCGAACGGAAGAGGAAGCGCGUAACAGAGAGACAAAUACUUUUUGAAAAAUAAAAUCAUCUCCAAUGGAAAUAUCUAUGAUUGGUCACGAUUAUUCAACACACGUCCACACAAGGGAAACUCGACCAACAACCAUGAAACAAUCUCUUUUCCCAGAAGUCGGACAUCUUAUCCAAACGGCCGAUACACAAAUCCCGGCCAUUUAUCCGGCACAAAAGGCCCACCUUUCGGUCUCUUCUCUCCAGUUUGAUAAAUAGAACGUCUGGAGAAAGAGAAAAAAUGGCAAAACUGGACGAAAGCUGUGGGGGCAGGGCGAGGGAUAUUAUCGUGGACGCAGAAGGGUGGUCAUGUGAAAAAUACAUCGGUGUGUGCAGAGGAGAUUGGUCGAGGGGUGACGAGCGGCGCACAGGACACGAGAAAGCUCUUGCGUAUCAGAGGGGUGGCUAUGCCAUUUCUAUGGAACCGUCCAUUUACACACCGUCCAACAGAGACGUGAGCACGCAUCUCGCUGUGUAAUCGAAUUAAAAGUUGCAUGGUUACGCGCCAUUUUUCCCGCACGACGAUUGUGAAACGAGAGGAACGUCGAGUCGAGAGAAUUUUGGAACAGGAUUAUUUAUGCGUUUAGGUUAGCUAAUUGGGGGGGUAGUAAUAAAGGUUUCAGGCGUAAGAUUUCCUUCUUUUUAAGAGGAAUCCAACGAGAAGGAUAUUUUCAAGGAUAAACAUUGUUGGUUACAAGUGAUAAUGGAUAUAGGUUAUAAUUAUUUUUAUGGGGAACAUUGAUGGAGAUUAAACAAUUUUCAUUUUUUCUUCAAUUUCAUUUUAUUUGCAUAUGCCUAUCCUAAAGGCUAAUUUAAUUAAUCUUUAUGGAUUAAUUAAUUAUACUUAUUCUCUAUUAUAUUUACUUUCAAAAUUGUAUAAGUUAUUUUUAAAAGUGUAUAUAGAUAUACUGGAAAGCUUGAAGAGUUGUUUAAUUUUAAGUAGUUAAAAUGAAUUGUUGCUGCGAAGAUUGUGUUAUACAAAAUAUUGGAAAAAAUUCGAGACACGAGCUGUGCAGACAGGAAGUUUCUCUCGUAUAACGGUAGUUAAAAAUUAUCGAGUGGCUGGUAAAAAUAUAGGACUCUUAACCUUGACCCAAGGAUUACAAUGAAAUUUAUUACCCUCAAAGUUUAUUGCUCUCAAACGCACGUUUUCGAUAACACCUCUUGUCACUGUAAUGGGUCGAUAUUUAUCGCCUCGUUAUUCGAGUAAGAGUGGUUUACAUGGAUAGAAAGAUUUUUCGAUAAAUACCUAAAGAUAUAAGUUAUAAUAUUUACUUAAAAAUUAAUAUAUUACACGUACAUUUACAUACAAUUUACGGCUAUAAUAUUAAUAUUUACCAAAAUAUACCAAUAUAAUAUUUAAUAAUGGGUAUAUUUAAUAAGAAAGUUAUUAUAUUUCGAUUCUUUCCCUCUUAAAAUUUAUAUAUUUCAAUAACUUUGAUAUUUUUAUAUAUAAAUACGAUUAUAUUCCACGUAAGAAGAACGUUAUUAUUUCUUUCUUCCAUAUAGGAUUAUUAAUCGUUAGAGUGUCCUUUGAAAAAAAACUUGCGAAUUAAUAUUAUCAUUUUUCAUCAGAUACCGCUUUAAAAGUUUAAUCUAAUCGUAAGUUCCAGCUGUACGCCGUUCAUUAUUCCAAAACGAAGGGAACCCAAUCCACCACGGGAGAAAAGAAAAAGAAGACAUAACGUGGCCGAGAUAAUUAAGGAGAAAAAAAAAAGAACCCAAUCCCCGAGGAGCCAGUCUUAAUUCACGCCAGGCAAGAGUACUAAAAAAGCUCGGCAGAAAAGGGUUGCAGCUCCGUCGCCCUUCUUCACGAGAGAUUACGAAACUCGAAUCGUGAAAAAAAAGUUUUUCGCGAAAUUACACUCCAAGAAGAGAUACCCCGCCUCUUGGAAGAGCAUCCAAGUUUCAUUUAUCCGACCCAACCCUAUUCCAAUAAAUCUUAAGGAUACAUCCUUGAUACGUAGUCGUUCGAGCAGCAAUGCUUCGGUCGAAUAAACACGAAUGUUAAUUCAUCCGAGAGAUAUGUUUUCUGUCUCCCAUUUCGUGUUUCCAAUUCAGCUUCUUACAUGUUAUGUAAGUGUAUAGGAUAAUGUAUUGAUUUAUCAUUAUUUCUUUUCAGAAUCUCAU